rnacentral:lncRNA from 1 species
UCGUGGUAAUAUGUUUACACUGUUAUCUACUUUGUGGGGAUAUUCACAACUCUUCCAUGAACUUCAUAUUGUCCAUGACCAAAAACCUCGCGUAUUUGCAUGAAAGGAAGUCUUGGACACAGAAACCGCUCCUCACAUGAAGUGAGUUUUCUGAUCACAUCAGGAACAAUUGGGAAUUCUAAAGCUGCAUGCGAAAGUGAAAGUGCUGGGACUUUCAUUUUCCGAACAGAGUCAUAACAAGAGGAACAUAGACUAACAGAAUCUCCACAUGCUGGUGAUACGAAACAAGUAGAACACAGAGACGCAGAAUCCUGACUAUUUUUAUGCAAAUCUAUGCAAAUACUUUGGAGAAAAUUACAAUUUCUCUCUGUAAUUUUCAGAGAUUUCAAACUUUUUUUAAACCACAAACGAAAACAGCAGUCGCACUUGUAAGAAGGACCCUCUUUUAUUGCAUUUUGAUACGAUGUAAAGGACUUUUGUCUGAUCAUGUCAGACUUUAAUUGCCUCCUCCUCCGAUAUGAGGCUCUAAGUUGCCGCCUUACUUUGGUGCGAUGCGAUGCAUCGUGUCGAUACCUCCGUUUUUUGCAGACACGAUUCCAAGCACGAUGCCUCGCUUUAGCAAUUGGAUUCAGUAGUCUGCGUCUUUGUGCAGCAAUUAGCCUUUCUUUAUGGGUCAUUCUCUGUAAAGGAAUAGCAAGCCUGUGACUCUGUGCUCUCCGUAGUUGUAUCUGAUGGGUUUUCCGCUUCUCUGGAUCCUUGAGUCUGCGCCUUUGGGCAGAGGUGUUCCGAAGUUGAUGUGCCUGCCAUUUUUCUGGAUCCUUGAGUCUGCGCUGUUGAGCAGAGGUGUUCCGAGCUUGGUGUGCCUGCCUUUUUUCUGGAUCCCUGAGUCUGCGCUGUUGGGCAGAGAUCAUCAGAGCUCGGUGUGCCUGCCGAUUUUCUGGAUCCUUGAGUCUGCGCUGUUGGGCAGAGGUGUUCCGAAGUUGAUGUGCCUGCCGAUUUUCUGGAUCCUUGAGUCUGCGCUGUUGGGCAGAGGUGUUCCGAGCUUGAUGUGCCUGCCUUUUUACUGGAUCCUUGAGUCUACGCUGCUGGGCUGCAUUAUUGCGGCGAUUGUGGGCCUGUCGCUUUGAAGAACUUUCAAGGCGACGUUGAAGCGCAGCUUUUGAAGACUCAAUUUUAUCUUCACGUUCCAGUUCAUACCUUUCUCUGUCCUUUUGUUUCUUUUUAGUUUCUGUCUGCUUCUUUUUCCUAGUGGCUGCUUUCCUCUGCCGGUCAGCAGCAAUUUUCAUGUGGACGGAUUUUUUUUUCAGUCGCGGCAUAUUUGCGCAGGGCAAAUACGUAGACCUGUUAAUGGAACACGGGAGCAUCAAUUGUGAUGUUCAACAUGAGAAUUCGUUUGUCGUGGAAGGUUACCGAGAGGAAACGGGGGUGCAAAGUCUGCCCGAUCGAGCGAUCCACCGAAAUCGUCCAUAAAGACUCUGAAAAAACUUUCAGAAAAAAAUGCUGACGAUCUAUCUCCUUUUCUACUUUUCGAGCAACUUAUGAAAAAUGAAGACCUAAUUAGAAGAAAAUAUCACUUUGCAAAAUUUGGAAAUCUUUUGGAAGUGAGUGAGGAAAAAAUCGCAUGAAACGCGUUCGGCCGAUUCGAGUUUUUUUACACCCCUGGGAGGAAAUUAGAAAAAUAGGAUUAAAACAACAAUAGAUGGCCGUAGGCCAACUAUACAAGGAACUUUCACCUGAUAGCAUGAGUUCAUUUUUUUAACCUCCUCGGUUUUCCUUCCUUAAAUCAAUUGAGACAACGGUAAUUAUAAACCAAGAACAUGAGUGGUGCUACGCAGACUUUUUUGGGUGUCUAGUGGGUGGAAUGAAUUCUUGCGUAAGCGAGAGGUAUUAAUUUAACUACAUGCUCAGGUAAAACACAUUGUAUUCGUAUUCAUUAUCAGAAAGAAGAUAAUAUGUAGAAUAGAAAAUGAAUAGAGAUUAUGCAAUACUGCCUACAAACUGACAACGAGAUCUAUGAAUACUUUCUGUGGAGUCCAUCACUGUGAAUUUAUAUCUUUC